CACACUAUUACUAUGUAAACUAAAUUCACUUGUAAUAAAAACAGGUUUGUUUUCUUGAAAAGUGCUUGGGGAUUGAUCAAUAGCACCAGAAGAAGAUACAGCACCAGAUGAAGAAAUAGCACCAUUGUGAUCAGGGGGAUGUUCGUUCCUUACUGUGUAGCAUUGGGGUGUGGGUGGAUGUUGCACCCCUUGUUGUACAUGCAAGAACGGAGCUUGCUGAGAAGAAAGACUGUAUGUCCGAGUGUCUGGCAAUCCAUUGCUAUAGGACCCAUUACCCUGCGGAUUCUCUGGUCCUUCUCUUGAAGACGACUGAAACGGGAAUGUACCAUGUGCUACUUGGUUUGAAACGUCUACAAAGUCCUGACUGCUUGUAUUGCUGCAAAAGGAAUUCCCAUUAGAUUCCUGCAAAGGCUGAAAAGGAUAUUGAAAUGGCAUGGAUCCGAAAC